rnacentral:tRNA from 1 species
CUCCUGCUAGCUCAAUGGAUAGAGCAGCGCUUUCCUAGGGCGUGGAUCGGGGUUCGAAUCCUCGGCGGGAGGCCA